GACGAACGCUGGCGGCGUGCUUAACACAUGCAAGUCGAACGGGAGUAUUGAAGAAGCUUGCUUUAGAGAUACUUUAGUGGCGGACGGGUGAGUAACGCGUUAGGAGCUGUCCUAUGCAGGGGGACAACAGUUGGAAACGACUGCUAAUACCCCAUAAGCCGAGAGGUAAACGGAUUUAUCCGGCAGAGGAGGUACUCGCGUACUAUCAGCUAGUAGGUGAGGUAACGGCUCACCUAGGCGAAGACGGGUAGCCGGCCUGAGAGGGCGAACGGCCACACUGGAACUGAGAUACGGUCCAGACUCCUACGGGAGGCAGCAGUGGGGAAUAUUGGGCAAUGGGGGGAACCCUGACCCAGCGACGCCGCGUGGGUGAAGAAAUCCUUCGGGAUGUAAAGCCCUGUUGUAUGGGAAGAGCGGAAGACGGUACCAUACGAGGAAGCCCCGGCAAACUACGUGCCAGCCGCCGCAGUAA
rnacentral:rRNA from 1 species